UAAAUUUGCUUGCCAAAAUUUAGUCAAAAGGCAGCACACACAAAGGGUUAAUGUCUUGCUCCUCCCGUCUAGGACAGAAGACAAAUCAUUAAUAAAUCUGCGUAAUUAACUACCCUUAUAAAGGAGUGCAUAUCGAGUAGGCAGACAUGUUUUUUUCUAAGCAAUGCCUUUAUUAGGGAGGGAUAUAAAUGUUGCCUUUGAACUCAAAGAAAGAUACAUUUCGGUAAGCAAAUUUAUUCUUUCCUUAUCGUCCUUCAGGCAGCACACACAAAAGGAUAUUAAGUUG